rnacentral:tRNA from 1 species
GGGGUUAUAGCUCAGCGAUAGGUAGAGCGCUUGCCUUACACACAUGAGGCACUGGGUUCAAUCCUCAGCACCCCA